CAGAUAGAGAGCCGUCCCCAAAGAAAAUGGCCGUUACGUGUAAUGGAUGGUUGCAACAAUGGGUCUGCCAAGUAUUUUGAUUAUCUUUUCUAUGUUGAUUUUGAAGCUUCAAUGGCUGAUGCACGGGCACAAAAUGCUCUUGGGCACCUACAGGAAUUUGCAACAUUCAUGAGAGUACUUGGAAGUUACCCUAUGGAUGUGAGCUCAAGUGACUGAUUGGCUAGAGACUUGAUUUUGGAGGAAUUGGCCAGGGUAUUAUUGUUUCAAUUAAAU